AUUCUUUCCCAGAGGCAAUAUCGUAGCUUAUGAGGUUUAUCCAAAGCGUUAUCAUUGCUGGUUGAAAACUUUACCCAAUACCCCGCUUGGAUGACUUGAAAAAUAGUCAGUUGUGGCAAAUUUUGCUAGUCUCUUUGGAGA
rnacentral:snRNA from 1 species